rnacentral:rRNA from 1 species
UACGAAGGGGGCUAGCGUUGUUCGGAAUUACUGGGCGUAAAGCGCGUGUAGGCGGGGCCUUAAGUCAGGGGUGAAAUGCCGAGGCUCAACCUCGGAACUGCCUUUGAUACUGGGGAUCUUGAGUCCGGGAGAGGUGAGUGGAACUGCGAGUGUAGAGGUGAAAUUCGUAGAUAUUCGCAAGAACACCAGUGGCGAAGGCGGCUCACUGGCCCGGAACUGACGCUGAGACGCGAAAGCGUGGGGAGCAAACAGG